AUGACGUGCGGAAUCACACUUCACAACUCAGAGAGUUCUAAAGCAGUGACUGUGGCCAGAGCCCAGGUGCAGCAGGAGCCAUCGGCAGAGACCACCGAGGGCACCAGCAUCAGCAUCAACUGCUCACACCCCAACAUCCAGUCUUACAACUACAUCUACUGGUUCCGUCAGCUCCCGGGCCGAGGCCCCGCAUUCCUCGUGAGCACCCUGAAAGGGUCCAAGGAUGUGCAGACCCCUCCGGGGCGGCUGUCGGUGUCGGCAGACCACCGGUCCAGCGCCCUGUGGCUCGCCCGGCCCCGGCGCGGGGACGCGGCGGUGUAUUACUGCGCC